CGCGUGGUAGCUCAGUGGUAGAGCGUUCGAUAUUGCAGCUCGAAGGGUCACUGGUUCAGUCCGCGUCCGCGCUU
rnacentral:tRNA from 1 species